rnacentral:rRNA from 1 species
AGUGAACGCUGGCGGUAGGCCUAACACAUGCAAGUCGAACGGCAGCACAGUAAGAGCUUGCUCUUACGGGUGGCGAGUGGCGGACGGGUGAGGAAUACAUCGGAAUCUACUUUUUCGUGGGGGAUAACGUAGGGAAACUUACGCUAAUACCGCAUACGACCUACGGGUGAAAGCAGGGGAUCUUCGGACCUUGCGCGAUUGAAUGAGCCGAUGUCGGAUUAGCUAGUUGGCGGGGUAAAGGCCCACCAAGGCGACGAUCCGUAGCUGGUCUGAGAGGAUGAUCAGCCACACUGGAACUGAGACACGGUCCAGACUCCUACGGGAGGCAGCAGUGGGGAAUAUUGGACAAUGGGCGCAAGCCGGAUCCAGCCAUACUGCGUGGGUGAAGAAGGCCUUCGGGUUGUAAAGCCCUUUUGUUGGGAAAGAAAAGCAGCAGGUUAAUACCCCGCUGUUCUGACGGUACCCAAAGAAUAAGCACCGGCUAACUUCGUG